UUAUACAACCUCAACUCAUAUGGGACUACCCCCUGAAUUUAAGCAUAUUAAUUAGGGGAGGAAAAGAAACUAACAAGGAUUUUCUUAGUAGCGGCGAGCGAAAAGAAAUCAGUUCAGCACUAAGUCACUUUGCCUAUAUGGCAAAUGUGAGAUGCAGUGUAUGGAACAUCAAUAUUCUAGUAUGAGAAAUUAACGAUUUAAGUCCUUCUUAAAUGAGGCCAUUUACCCAUAGAGGGUGCCAGGCCCGUAUAACGUUAAUGAUUAUUAGAUGGUGUUUCCAAAGAGUCGUGUUGCUUGAUAGUGCAGCACUAAGUGGGUGGUAAACUCCAUCUAAAACUAAAUAUAACCAUGAGACCGAUAGUAAACAAGUACCGUGAGGGAAAGUUGAAAAGAACUCUGAAUAGAGAGUUAAAUAGUACGUGAAACUGCUUAGAGGUUAAGCCCGAUGAACUUGAAUAUCCGUUAUGGAAAAUUCAUCAUUAGAAUUGUAGUAUUUAAACAAUAUUAUAAUAAUAGUGUGCAUUUUUUCCAUAUAAGGACAUUGUAAUCUAUUAGCAUAUUAAUUUAUCAUACAAUUAUGUCAUUUUGUUUUUUUCAAUUAGAGUGCUUGCAUUUUAACAUGAAAUAAUAGUUAUAACUUUGAUAAAGUGCUGAUAGAUUUAUAAGAUUACAGUGCGUUAAUUUUUCGGAAUUAUAUAAUGGCAUGAUUAUCAUUGAUUAUUGUGUUUAUUAUAUGCACUUGUAUGAUUAACAAUGCGAAAGAUUCAGGAUACCUUCGGGACCCGUCUUGAAACACGGACCAAGGAGUCUAACAUAUGUGCAAGUUAUUGGGAUAUAAACCUAAUAGCGUAAUUAACUUGACUAUUAAUGGGAUUAGUUUUUUAACUAUUUAUAGUUGAUUAACACAAUCCCGGGGCGUUCUAUAUAGUUAUGUAUAAUGAUAUUUAUAUUAUUUAUGCCUCUAACUAGAACGUACCUUGAGCAUAUAUGCUGUGACCCGAAAGAUGGUGAACU
rnacentral:rRNA from 1 species